rnacentral:lncRNA from 1 species
AACAAUUCGAUAAAAAAUUGUUCGAUUUUUGGAGCAAAAGAUUGAUACGAAAAUUUGUAGGAUCGUUAUUAUUAUAUGUUCUUUCGGAGAAUUCGUGAAGGAGUCGUCCAUACCGAUUGUAUUUGCUGGUAACGAGGAACACGUGCUUAUUGCUAAAAUUAGUAAUAACACUGUGGCGCCUAGGGUGUCGAAAAAGGAACUAACGAGAUAAAUGCGAGAGAGGAAGAGGAGGAGGAGGAGGAGGAGGAGGAGGCGAUGGGUGGAAGAUGAUGCUGCUUUGGAGCUGUCAAAGAUGGUUCAACGCGUAGAGAAGACAGAGAGAAGAGGAAGUGGUGCGUUGAAAGCCUCAAACGCAUAAGGAGAAGUAAGGGUUCGUUCACGAGCAACGUGAACGCGUGGCCUUGCGCUAUAAACGAGUCUCGGGAUUGAAAAGAAAAGGAAAA